UGCAGGGUAUAGACCCGAAACCCGGUGAUCUAGCCAUGGGCAGGUUGAAGGUUGGGUAACACUAACUGGAGGACCGAACCGACUAAUGUUGAAAAAUUAGCGGAUGACUUGUGGCUGGGGGUGAAAGGCCAAUCAAACCGGGAGAUAGCUGGUUCUCCCCGAAAGCUAUUUAGGUAGCGCCUCGUGAAUUCAUCUCCGGGGGUAGAGCACUGUUUCGGCAAGGGGGUCAUCCCGACUUACCAACCCGAUGCAAACUGCGAAUACCGGAGAAUGUUAUCACGGGAGACACACGGCGGGUGCUAACGUCCGUCGUGAAGAGGGAAACAACCCAGACCGCCAGCUAAGGUCCCAAAGUCAUGGUUAAGUGGGAAACGAUGUGGGAAGGCCCAGACAGCCAGGAUGUUGGCUUAGAAGCAGCCAUCAUUUAAAGAAAGCGUAAUAGCUCACUGGUCGAGUCGGCCUGCGCGGAAGAUGUAACGGGGCUAAACCAUGCACCGAAGCUGCGGCAGCGACGCUGAUGCGUUGUUGGGUAGGGGAGCGUUCUGUAAGCCUGCGAAGGUGUGCUGUGAGGCAUGCUGGAGGUAUCAGAAGUGCGAAUGCUGACAUAAGUAACGAUAAAGCGGGUGAAAAGCCCGCUCGCCGGAAGACCAAGGGUUCCUGUCCAACGUUAAUCGGGGCAGGGUGAGUCGACCCCUAAGGCGAGGCCGAAAGGCGUAGUCGAUGGGAAACAGGUUAAUAUUCCUGUACUUGGUGUUACUGCGAAGGGGGGACGGAGAAGGCUAUGUUGGCCGGGCGACGGUUGUCCCGGUUUAAGCGUGUAGGCUGGUUUUCCAGGCAAAUCCGGAAAAUCAAGGCUGAGGCGUGAUGACGAGGCACUGCGGUGCUGAAGCAACAAAUGCCCUGCUUCCAGGAAAAGCCUCUAAGCAUCAGGUAACAUCAAAUCGUACCCCAAACCGACACAGGUGGUCAGGUAGAGAAUACCAAGGCGCUUGAGAGAACUCGGGUGAAGGAACUAGGCAAAAUGGUGCCGUAACUUCGGGAGAAGGCACGCUGAUAUGUAGGUGAAGUCCCUCGCGGAUGGAGCUGAAAUCAGUCGAAGAUACCAGCUGGCUGCAACUGUUUAUUAAAAACACAGCACUGUGCAAACACGAAAGUGGACGUAUACGGUGUGACGCCUGCCCGGUGCCGGAAGGUUAAUUGAUGGGGUUAGCGCAAGCGAAGCUCUUGAUCGAAGCCCCGGUAAACGGCGGCCGUAACUAUAACGGUCCUAAGGUAGCGAAAUUCCUUGUCGGGUAAGUUCCGACCUGCACGAAUGGCGUAAUGAUGGCUAGGCUGUCUCCACCCGAGACUCAGUGAAAUUGAACUCGCUGUGAAGAUGCAGUGUACCCGCGGCAAGACGGAAAGACCCCGUGAACCUUUACUAUAGCUUGACACUGAACAUUGAGCCUUGAUGUGUAGGAUAGGUGGGAGGCUUUGAAGUGUGGACGCCAGUCUGCAUGGAGCCGACCUUGAAAUACCACCCUUUAAUGUUUGAUGUUCUAACGUUGACCCGUAAUCCGGGUUGCGGACAGUGUCUGGUGGGUAGUUUGACUGGGGCGGUCUCCUCCUAAAGAGUAACGGAGGAGCACGAAGGUUGGCUAAUCCUGGUCGGACAUCAGGAGGUUAGUGCAAUGGCAUAAGCCAGCUUGACUGCGAGCGUGACGGCGCGAGCAGGUGCGAAAGCAGGUCAUAGUGAUCCGGUGGUUCUGAAUGGAAGGGCCAUCGCUCAACGGAUAAAAGGUACUCCGGGGAUAACAGGCUGAUACCGCCCAAGAGUUCAUAUCGACGGCGGUGUUUGGCACCUCGAUGUCGGCUCAUCACAUCCUGGGGCUGAAGUAGGUCCCAAGGGUAUGGCUGUUCGCCAUUUAAAGUGGUACGCGAGCUGGGUUUAGAACGUCGUGAGACAGUUCGGUCCCUAUCUGCCGUGGGCGCUG
rnacentral:rRNA from 1 species